rnacentral:rRNA from 1 species
UACGGGGGGGGGCAAGCGUUGUUCGGAAUUACUGGGCGUAAAGGGCUCGUAGGUGGCCAACUAAGUCAGACGUGAAAUCCCUCGGCUUAACCGGGGAACUGCGUCUGAUACUGGAUGGCUUGAGUGUGGGAGAGGGAUGCGGAAUUCCAGGUGUAGCGGUGAAAUGCGUAGAUAUCUGGAGGAACACCGGUGGCGAAGGCGGCAUCCUGGACCAUUACUGACACUGAAUAGCGAAAGCCAGGGGAGCGAAACGGGG